UAAUUCAAAAGGAAGAUGCGACCGGGUGAGGCUGGCCCAGCCGGUUCAUUCCGGUUUAGUAAAUUACCGGCAACUUUUCAUCCUCCCUCUAGAUCCAGAUCAAGAAGGCUCUGAGAAGAAAACCACAGGAAGCCAAGUAGACGACGCUGCCGAUCUGUCCGAACUGUAAUAUACAACCCCCUGUGUUUCCGUGUAAACGUCCCAACUCUCUCUCUCUCUCUCUCUCUCUCUCUCUCUCUCCUUAACAGUUCACAUUGAUCUACCUCACCUGCUCUUUCUAUAUAAUCCACCGCACUCCACAUUUCCCCGAUUCCUUAAUUCAUGAUCUCUAAAUCCCGAUAAUGGAUUCGAAACCUUCCCAAUCGGGAAGGUUCGUCGACCGCACCAACACUCAUCACACAAGCAACGACAACAACAACAACAACACUCAUCACAAACCCCUCAGCCGCACAACUUCCUCCUCCACCUCCUCCACCGAUGCCACCAGCCAAAGCCUAGCUUCCAUCCUCAACAACCCCCACGCCGUCAAAUCCGGCCUCUACGACCCCUCCUCCUGGUCAGGCUGGUGGUCUUCCUCCGCCGCCGCCACUCCCCUCGACUUCGCACCUCUCUCCUCCACCUCCAAGGCCGCCGCCUCCGUCCCCGACCCCACCAGAUCCGAUUUCCAACCCUACCUGUCGUCGAUUUCCGGACCCCACGGCAGAUUCAAGGACAUUCGGAACCACAGCAACAAAGAGAGCAGCGUCGACGAUUCUGCUGCAGAGGGGAAGAGCAGCAGCGGAUUUGGUCAAGGGGAAGCGUUGGUGGCUUGUUUGCGCGAGGUGCCCGCGUUGUACUUCAAGGAAGACUUCGCGUUGGAGGAGGGACCCACGUUCCGGGCGGCGUGCCCAUUCUCCACCGUGUCGGAGAAUCUGGGUUUGCAGGAGAAGCUGUCGCAGUACUUGGACGUGGUGGAGCUGCACUUGGUGAAAGAGAUUUCCUUGCGGUCCAACUCGUUUUUCGAGGCGCAGGGUCAGUUGGAGGAUUUGAAUGUCAAGAUUGCCGAGGGGUGUAGCCGAAUCCGAGAACUCAAGGAGACUAUAAGGCUCUUGGAUUCUGAUUUGGUGGAUUCGGCUCGGGAGAUUCAGGAUUUGAAUUCGACGAGGAGUAAUUUGUUGGCUCUGCAGCUGAAAUUGAGGCUGAUAUUAUAUGUCAACCAAGCUCUUUCGGCUCUUAACCUGCUUGUUUCAUCCGCAGAUUGUGCUGGAGCAUUAGACGUCACAGAUGAUUUGCAGCAUUUGCUGGAUGGUAAUGAGUUGACUGGUCUACACUGCUUUCGUCAUCUUCGGGAUCAUGUAGCAGCUUCAAUGGAUGCCAUAAAUAGCAUUCUUUCAGCAGAUUUUAUGCGUACAUCUAUACAUGAUGCUGGCAAUAUGGAUGCAGCAAUAAUGUCAAGAGCAAAGGCAAGCCUACCUAUGAAUGGUGAAGUAGAUGAAGUUCAUAUAGAUGAAGAAGAAACCUCCAGUUUUCAAGAUCGACUUCUACCACUUGUAAUUGGUUUGCUAAGAACGGCAAAACUCCCCUCUGUUUUGAGAAUAUACCGUGAUACACUUACUGCUGAUAUGAAAAAUGCCAUUAAGACUGCAGUUGCAGACCUCCUACCUCUUCUUCUUGCCCAACCUUUGGAGUCAGAUCUUGCACCAGGAGAACGAGUUGUGGAUGCGGAUGGCGGAGGCUCAUCACUUGCAAGCAAAUUAAGAAUCAUGCCACCUGAAAACUUCGUUCAACUUCUGACUGCUAUUUUAAGAAUUGUUAAGGCACAUCUAGUUCGGGCUGCUGAAGUAAAGAAGGCCAUUGAGUGGAUUAUGUGCAAUAUUGGUGGCCAUUAUGCUGCUGAUUCAGUUGCUGCUGCAAUUGCAAUUGGUGCAGUGGCUGCAGAUGCAUCUCAAGAAACUGAUGGUCAAGCUGGUUCUGUUCUGACAUAUUCUCCACAGAGGAACGCUGCCAGGAUGCCUUCAUUGCAGGGAAUUCCAAAUGAUGCAUCAGGUCCAUCAAAUAUGUCAAAGAAUUUCAGGGCUGACGUUUUGCGUGAAAACACAGAAGCUGUGUUUGCAGCUUGUGACGCUGCUCAUGGAAGAUGGGCAAAGCUACUUGGGGUUCGUGCCCUUCUUCAUCCUAAGUUGAGACUGCAGGAGUUCUUAAACAUAUAUAAUAUCACUCAAGAUUUUAUAAUUGCUACUGAGAAGAUUGGUGGAAGGUUGGGAUAUAGCACUCGAGGAACACUGCAGUCACAGGCCAAAGCUUUUGUUGAUUACCAGCACGAGACCAGAAUGACAUAUAUCAAGGCAGUACUAGAUCAAGAAACUUGGGUUGAAGUAGAUGUUCCUGAUGAGUUUCAGGCCAUUCUUACUUCUCUGUUCUGUUCAAAUUCAAAUGGGAAUGUGGAUGAUGGUCAAGGUGAAGUUGCAACAUGUUACACUGAAGUGGCCUCGAGCAACGAAGAUACUAGACUUCCAAAUUCUCAGCAGCAUAUUGCGCACACUGAUUAUAUUGAAGCAUCUGCAGAUAGUUCUGGACAGGUGAAAUCUUUGGCGGUGGCUGGGACAAUUGACAACAAUAUUUCUGAUGUUACAACUUCUCCGGCUCAGAGCAAUAGUACUAGCAAUGAAGAACGCCGAAGAGCUUCCUUGCAAACACUUUCAUUCAGGGGUGUUGAUUAUCACAUGGUAAACUGUGGCUUAAUGUUGCUGAAGCUUUUAUCAGAGUACAUUGACAUGAAUAAUAAAUUGCCAAUGAUGUCUUCAGAAGUUGUUCAUCGUGUUUUUGAAAUCUUGAAGUUUUUCAAUACAAGAACCUGUCAGCUUGUUCUUGGUGCAGGUGCCAUGCAGGUGUCUGGUUUGCGAUCUAUUACUUCGAAGCACUUGGCGCUGGCUAGUCAGGUUGUCAGUUUUACACAUGCUAUUAUUCCUGAAAUCAGGAAUAUUCUGUUCAGUAAAGUACCAGAGACACGAAAGGCAUUACUACUGUCGGAGAUUGAUCGGGUAGCACAGGAUUAUAAAGUCCACAGAGAUGAGAUACAUUCGAAAUUGGUUCAAAUAAUGCGAGAAAGGUUGUUGGUUCAUCUCCGUAGUUUACCACAAAUUGUUGAAGGCUGGAACAGGCUAGAAGAAUCUGAUUCACAGCCUAGUCAGUUUGCUCGGUCCCUCACCAAGGAAGUUGGGUAUCUUCAACGUGUCUUGUCUCGAACUUUGCAUGAGGUAGAUGUUCAAGCAAUUUUCAGGCAAGUUGUUGUAAUCUUCCACUCACAAAUUUCAGAAGCGUUUUCCAACAUAGAUUAUAGCAGUCAACAAGCAAAAAACAGGCUGUACCGGGAUAUUCAGCACAUCCUUGGAUGCAUCCGAUCAUUGCCUUCUGAUAAUCCAAGCGGAGCAGAUAUCCCGAACUGGGGCCAACUUGAUGAGUUCCUGGCACAAAGAUUUGGUCCUGACGCUGGUUAAUAAAGGCUAUCUGCAGAGCAAAUUGUUUUUAUCUCAUUUGAUGACUAACCAUAUUUGAUGGAUUGGUAUGAAGAUUCCAGAAGCUACCUUCAACGUGCAGAUUGUACAUUCUAUGAUUAAUUUGAGGUAUUUGCGGUGCUCAUGGGAUAAACAACAGCAUCACAUUAAAAUGCUGUGGUUUUAAAAGAACGGGUCCUUACACUACCUGAAGCUGUCGCACUGGAUUUUUAACACAUCUUGAAUAUGGCCCUUGACGUAUUGUUACUAGGAUUUUAGUUUCCUGUUUAAGAUUUAACUGCUGCAUUUUUUGGGGUUAUAGGCAACAAGCAAACACGUAUAUUUUCAGAGUUUGGGAUCUGUAUUUUUCCUUUUCAGGGCUGAAAUCAGUUUUUGUUAUCAAGUAGUAGCAAUAUUUCUCACUGGAUGUAUAUUUUUGAUCAGAUUGAGAGUAAGAUUUUCCUUUUUUGCACCCAUUGUUGUUUCAUUGUGAAAGCGAAAUUGUUACAUUUGGCUCGAAAAUUUCAAGUGAAAUUUUCGUGGAAAUUGUUGAUAGAAUAAUGGAGGAAUGAAUAUCAUGAUGUUGUUUGGCUAGGAUUUUUGGCUA